ACUAAGCGUACACGGUGGAUGCCCUGGCAGUCAGAGGCGAUGAAGGACGUGCUAAUCUGCGAUAAGCGUCGGUAAGGUGAUAUGAACCGUUAUAACCGGCGAUUUCCGAAUGGGGAAACCCAGUGUGUUUCGACACACUAUCAUUAACUGAAUCCAUAGGUUAAUGAGGCGAACCGGGGGAACUGAAACAUCUAAGUACCCCGAGGAAAAGAAAUCAACCGAGAUUCCCCCAGUAGCGGCGAGCGAACGGGGAGCAGCCCAGAGCCUGAAUCAGUGUGUGUGUUAGUGGAAGCGUCUGGAAAGGCGCGCGAUACAGGGUGACAGCCCCGUACACAAAAAUGCACAUGCUGUGAGCUCGAUGAGUAGGGCGGGACACGUGGUAUCCUGUCUGAAUAUGGGGGGACCAUCCUCCAAGGCUAAAUACUCCUGACUGACCGAUAGUGAACCAGUACCGUGAGGGAAAGGCGAAAAGAACCCCGGCGAGGGGAGUGAAAAAGAACCUGAAACCGUGUACGUACAAGCAGUGGGAGCACGCUUAGGCGUGUGACUGCGUACCUUUUGUAUAAUGGGUCAGCGACUUAUAUUCUGUAGCAAGGUUAACCGAAUAGGGGAGCCGAAGGGAAACCGAGUCUUAACUGGGCGUUAAGUUGCAGGGUAUAGACCCGAAACCCGGUGAUCUAGCCAUGGGCAGGUUGAAGGUUGGGUAACACUAACUGGAGGACCGAACCGACUAAUGUUGAAAAAUUAGCGGAUGACUUGUGGCUGGGGGUGAAAGGCCAAUCAAACCGGGAGAUAGCUGGUUCUCCCCGAAAGCUAUUUAGGUAGCGCCUCGUGAAUUCAUCUCCGGGGGUAGAGCACUGUUUCGGCAAGGGGGUCAUCCCGACUUACCAACCCGAUGCAAACUGCGAAUACCGGAGAAUGUUAUCACGGGAGACACACGGCGGGUGCUAACGUCCGUCGUGAAGAGGGAAACAACCCAGACCGCCAGCUAAGGUCCCAAAGUCAUGGUUAAGUGGGAAACGAUGUGGGAAGGCCCAGACAGCCAGGAUGUUGGCUUAGAAGCAGCCAUCAUUUAAAGAAAGCGUAAUAGCUCACUGGUCGAGUCGGCCUGCGCGGAAGAUGUAACGGGGCUAAACCAUGCACCGAAGCUGCGGCAGCGACGCUUAUGCGUUGUUGGGUAGGGGAGCGUUCUGUAAGCCUGCGAAGGUGUGCUGUGAGGCAUGCUGGAGGUAUCAGAAGUGCGAAUGCUGACAUAAGUAACGAUAAAGCGGGUGAAAAGCCCGCUCGCCGGAAGACCAAGGGUUCCUGUCCAACGUUAAUCGGGGCAGGGUGAGUCGACCCCUAAGGCGAGGCCGAAAGGCGUAGUCGAUGGGAAACAGGUUAAUAUUCCUGUACUUGGUGUUACUGCGAAGGGGGGACGGAGAAGGCUAUGUUGGCCGGGCGACGGUUGUCCCGGUUUAAGCGUGUAGGCUGGUUUUCCAGGCAAAUCCGGAAAAUCAAGGCUGAGGCGUGAUGACGAGGCACUACGGUGCUGAAGCAACAAAUGCCCUGCUUCCAGGAAAAGCCUCUAAGCAUCAGGUAACAUCAAAUCGUACCCCAAACCGACACAGGUGGUCAGGUAGAGAAUACCAAGGCGCUUGAGAGAACUCGGGUGAAGGAACUAGGCAAAAUGGUGCCGUAACUUCGGGAGAAGGCACGCUGAUAUGUAGGUGAAGUCCCUCGCGGAUGGAGCUGAAAUCAGUCGAAGAUACCAGCUGGCUGCAACUGUUUAUUAAAAACACAGCACUGUGCAAACACGAAAGUGGACGUAUACGGUGUGACGCCUGCCCGGUGCCGGAAGGUUAAUUGAUGGGGUUAGCCGCAAGGCGAAGCUCUUGAUCGAAGCCCCGGUAAACGGCGGCCGUAACUAUAACGGUCCUAAGGUAGCGAAAUUCCUUGUCGGGUAAGUUCCGACCUGCACGAAUGGCGUAAUGAUGGCCAGGCUGUCUCCACCCGAGACUCAGUGAAAUUGAACUCGCUGUGAAGAUGCAGUGUACCCGCGGCAAGACGGAAAGACCCCGUGAACCUUUACUAUAGCUUGACACUGAACAUUGAGCCUUGAUGUGUAGGAUAGGUGGGAGGCUUAGAAGUGUGGACGCCAGUCUGCAUGGAGCCGACCUUGAAAUACCACCCUUUAAUGUUUGAUGUUCUAACGUUGACCCGUAAUCCGGGUUGCGGACAGUGUCUGGUGGGUAGUUUGACUGGGGCGGUCUCCUCCUAAAGAGUAACGGAGGAGCACGAAGGUUGGCUAAUCCUGGUCGGACAUCAGGAGGUUAGUGCAAUGGCAUAAGCCAGCUUGACUGCGAGCGUGACGGCGCGAGCAGGUGCGAAAGCAGGUCAUAGUGAUCCGGUGGUUCUGAAUGGAAGGGCCAUCGCUCAACGGAUAAAAGGUACUCCGGGGAUAACAGGCUGAUACCGCCCAAGAGUUCAUAUCGACGGCGGUGUUUGGCACCUCGAUGUCGGCUCAUCACAUCCUGGGGCUGAAGUAGGUCCCAAGGGUAUGGCUGUUCGCCAUUUAAAGUGGUACGCGAGCUGGGUUUAGAACGUCGUGAGACAGUUCGGUCCCUAUCUGCCGUGGGCGCUGGAGAACUGAGGGGGGCUGCUCCUAGUACGAGAGGACCGGAGUGGACGCAUCACUGGUGUUCGGGUUGUCAUGCCAAUGGCACUGCCCGGUAGCUAAAUGCGGAAGAGAUAAGUGCUGAAAGCAUCUAAGCACGAAACUUGCCCCGAGAUGAGUUCUCCCUGACCCUUUAAGGGUCCUGAAGGAACGUUGAAGACGACGACGUUGAUAGGCCGGGUGUGUAAGCGCAGCGAUGCGUUGAGCUAACCGGUACUAAUGAACCGUGAGGCUUAACC
rnacentral:rRNA from 1 species